rnacentral:lncRNA from 1 species
ACUGCGCUACAGUAUCUCAUGGGCGAGAAGCGUAUAGCUAGUUAAUAAUGCAGGUAGGGCAUGAGACUUCGACUCGUCUACUAGCGAGGAUGCGGAUUGGGAUACAAAUUUGACUUUAAAAUCUUCAUGUCUACGUUAGCCACCGCAGAUGUUGAGGUAGAAAGCAUGAGCUUGAUGUAUAAUAAUGCAACUAUGGGGGACCAUAGUUUUCUGUACUUAAUACAUAAUUUUACACUUGAUAAGAAUAAAUUAAGAAAGCUUAUAAGUUCUCACAAGUACAAAUUGAUAAAUUUAAUAGGAAUAAUUUUAUUGGGUUUACUUAUGAUUUAAAUGUUAAGUAAUACAAGUCAAAACAUGAAAAAUAUUACGUAUAAUGGUCCAUAGCUUACCUCCUGAUAGUAGUGCUACCUUCUUAAAACUAUGAUUUGUCUUUUGAAAAAGAAUCUUGCAACUAGAUUGAUCAAAAGCAUAGACAUUUGUUUGGUUUGUUUGUGGUGAUUCAUAUUUAUUGUUUUGUAAUAAAGAAAAUAAAUUUCAAUACAGAGAAUUAUGUGUAUUGGAUAAUAAAUAGCAUAUUAUAUAUAUGGAUCUGAUCCGUGGCAUUAUAUUUUUUACACAAAUUUUGACAUACAUUUUUGUGGAGCUAUUAUUGACAAUAUCAUUUAGGACAUCACCCACAAGUCAUCCUUGCAAAAAAAAAAAUAUUAGUACAUCGAUAUUUUUACACUAAGAGAAGGGGGAGUUCAGUUAAGCCACAUAAUGAGCAGUCUAAUUUGGUAUCGAAUUCGCCAUCCACGAGAUUCGAACCUAAGACCUCUCACUUCCAAGUGAAGAGGAAUACCCAUUUUCAGUGGUUCCGACUUGUAUGUAGUGUAGUGCCGUAUAGGUCACUAGAGGUGACUCCGGCUUAUGUGCUAGCAAUGAUUGAUGAGCUAUGAUUUAGUCAUACAUGUCACUAGAGGUGACUCCAACUUAUAUGCUAGCCAUGAUUGAUGAGAUACGUGAUAAGAUAUGAAUAUGUCGUAUAGGUCACUAGAGGUGACUCCGACUUAUAUGCUAGCCAUGAUUGAUGAGAUACAUGAUGAGAUAUGAAUACGUCGUGUAGGUCACUAGAGGUGACUCCAACUUAGGUGCUAGCCUAUAUGUGAUGAAAUGCUAGCAUAUAUAUUUAUGAUGGGAUAUGUAAUGAAAUGCUAGCAUAUAUAAUGACUAUAUGUGAUGAGCUAGUAUAUGUGGUGAAUACGUGAUGAGCUAGCAGACGUGAUGAAUAUGCGAUA